rnacentral:rRNA from 1 species
AUUGAACGCUGGCGGCAUGCCUUACACAUGCAAGUCGAACGGUAACAGGUCUUCGGAUGCUGACGAGUGGCGAACGGGUGAGUAAUACAUCGGAACGUGCCCGAUCGUGGGGGAUAACGGAGCGAAAGCUUUGCUAAUACCGCAUACGAUCUCCGGAUGAAAGCAGGGGACCGCCAGGCGUUGCGAGGACUGAUGGACCGAUGGCAGAUUAGGUAGUUGGUGGGAUAAAAGCUUACCAAGCCGACGAUCGGUAGCUGGUCUGAGAGGACGACCAGCCACACUGGGACUGAGAAACGGCCCAGACUCCCACGGGAGGCAGCAGUGGGGAAUUUUGGACAAUGGGCGAAAGCCUGAUCCAGCCAUGCCGCGUGAAGGAUGAAGGCAUUCGGGUUGUAAACUGCUUUUGUACGGAACGAAAAGCCUCUUUCUAAUAAAGAGAGGUCAUGACGGUACCGUAAGAAUAAGCACCGGCUAACUACGUGCCAGCCGCCGCGGUAACAC